rnacentral:SRP_RNA from 1 species
GCCAAGCUGUGUAACUCUAACUUGUAACUCGAGUGAGGGCACCAAGAUGUUGGGACAUGUCUUAGCAUGCUUAGUUGGGCUCCUGACAGUAGAGGGAUAGCAGGGCUGCUUCACUUCCAGUUAGGUGUGCCAAGCUCUUGAAGGCUGCUUCACUUCCAGUUAGGUGUGCCAAGCUCUUGAACUAUCAUUGUU